UACGUAGGGGGCGAGCGUUGUCCGGAUUUAUUGGGCGUAAAGAGCUCGUAGGCGGUUCGGUAAGUCAGAUGUAAAAACUCCAGGCUCAACUUGGAGAGGCCAUCUGAUACUGCCGUGACUAGAGUUCGGUAGAGGAGCACGGAAUUCCUGGUGUAGCGGUGAAAUGCGUAGAUAUCCGGAGGAACACCGGUGGCGAAGGCGGCUUCCUGGACCGACACUGACGCUGAGGCGCGAAAGCUAGGGGAGCAAACGGG
rnacentral:rRNA from 1 species